rnacentral:rRNA from 1 species
AGAUUGAACGCUGGCGGCAUGCCUUACACAUGCAAGUCGAACGGCAGCACGGGGGCAACCCUGGUGGCGAGUGGCGAACGGGUGAGUAAUAUAUCGGAACGUGCCCAGUAGCGGGGGAUAACUACGCGAAAGCGUGGCUAAUACCGCAUACGCCCUACGGGGGAAAGGGGGGAUCGCAAGACCUCUCACUAUUGGAGCGGCCGAUAUCAGAUUAGCUAGUUGGUGAGGUAAAGGCUCACCAAGGCGACGAUCUGUAGCUGGUUUGAGAGGACGACCAGCCACACUGGGACUGAGACGACGGCCCAGACUCCUACGGGAGCAGCAGGUGGGAAUUUGGACAAGUGGGGAACCUGAUCCAGCCAUCCCGCGUGUGCGAGUGAAGGCCGUUGGGUGUAAGUCUACGUUU